AAUAAAGACUUCAGUUAACCUCUUUCACAGCACCUGAUGAAGCCUCUGGCUGAAAGCGCUAGUGCUUAGAGUUAACUGUUAAUUUUAAGGAUUACAUGGUGCCAUUAGACUUCUGCUGGAGUUUCCUGCAGUGUGUUAAUUUGUCCUCGGAGAUUUCCCUCUGGCCUCAAAAGUGGACUGCAUACACACCCCUCUGGAAAAACAGCAGUUGUUAUUUCUUUGGCACAGAUAUUGUAAACUGUAUAAUAAACAGAGCUUGUAAUAUAUGGUUUGGAUAAAGGAAUAAAGAGAGAAACAAGGUGA
rnacentral:lncRNA from 1 species